rnacentral:rRNA from 1 species
CGCGUAGGCGGUCCGGUAAGUCGGCUGUGAAAGUCAAGGGCUCAACCCUUGAAAGCCGGCCGAUACUGCCGGACUAGAGUCCGGAAGAGGCGAGUGGAAUUCCCGGUGUAGCGGUGAAAUGCGCAGAUAUCGGGAGGAACACCAAUGGCGAAGGCAGCUCGCUGGGACGGUACUGACGCUGAGGCGCGAAAGCGUGGGGAGCAAACA